GACGAACGCUGGCGGCGUGCUUAACACAUGCAAGUCGAGCGGUAAGGCCCUUUCGGGGGUACACGAGCGGCGAACGGGUGAGUAACACGUGGGUGACCUGCCCUCAGCUCUGGGAUAAGCCUGGGAAACUGGGUCUAAUACUGGAUAUGACUCCACGGUGCAUGUCGUGGGGUGGAAAGCCUUGUGCGGCUGAGGAUGGGCCCGCGGCCUAUCAGCUUGUUGGUGGGGUGANGGCCUACCAAGGCGACGACGGGUAGCCGGCCUGAGAGGGCGACCGGCCACACUGGGACUGAGACACGGCCCAGACUCCUACGGGAGGCAGCAGUGGGGAAUCUUGCGCAAUGGGCGAAAGCCUGACGCAGCGACGCCGCGUGAGGGAUGACGGCCUCGGUUGUAACGUACUUACUACG
rnacentral:rRNA from 1 species